ensembl:snoRNA SNORA66 Small nucleolar RNA SNORA66
UGAAAAACAAAAGGAGUGACUAAUCAUGAUGUAGCAGAAGCUAAGGGAACCAGGUUUGCUAAAGUAACUGUGGAGAUAGGAACAUACUCACCUCAGAAGCUAUUGAGGUGGCCCAUUCUAUCCUAGAACAGUU